UACGAAGGGGGCUAGCGUUGCUCGGAAUGACUGGGCGUAAAGGGCGCGUAGGCGGAUGGCACAGUCAGAUGUGAAAUUCCCGGGCUUAACCUGGGGGCUGCAUUUGAUACGUGUUGUCUAGAGUGAGGAAGAGGGUUGUGGAAUUCCCAGUGUAGAGGUGAAAUUCGUAGAUAUUCGCAGGAACACCAGUGGCGAAGGCGGCUCACUGGUCCGGUACUGACGCUGAGGUGCGAAAGCGUGGGGAGCAAACAGG
rnacentral:rRNA from 1 species